rnacentral:rRNA from 1 species
UACGGGGGGGGCAAGCGUUGUUCGGAAUUACUGGGCGUAAAGGGCGCGUAGGCGGCCAUCUAAGUCAGACGUGAAAUCCCCCGGCUUAACCUGGGAACUGCGUCUGAUACUGGACGGCUUGAGUAUGGGAGAGGGAUGUAGAAUUCCAGGUGUAGCGGUGAAAUGCGUAGAUAUCUGGAGGAAUACCGGUGGCGAAGGCGGCAUCCUGGACCAUUACUGACGCUGAGGCGCGAAAGCUAGGGGAGCAAACGGG